GCUGUGAUGGCCGAGUGGGUAAGUCACACAUAGUUCUCCACUUGAAAUCGAAAGAUGCGAGGGUUCGAACCCCUCUCGCAGCA